GACGAACGCUGGCGGCGUGCUUAACACAUGCAAGUCGAACGGAAAGGCCCUGCUUGCAGGGUACUCGAGUGGCGAACGGGUGAGUAACACGUGGGUGAUCUGCCCUGCACUUCGGGAUAAGCCUGGGAAACUGGGUCUAAUACCGGAUAGGAGCCAUUUUUAGUGUGAUGGUUGGAAAGUUUUUUCGGUGUAGGAUGAGCUCGCGGCCUAUCAGCUUGUUGGUGGGGUAAUGGCCUACCAAGGCGGCGACGGGUAGCCGGCCUGAGAGGGUGGACGGCCACAUUGGGACUGAGAUACGGCCCAGACUCCUCCGGGAGGCAGCAGUGGGGAAUAUUGCACAAUGGGCGCUAGCCUGAUGCAGCGACGCCGCGUGGGGGAUGACGGCCUUCGGGUUGUAAACUCCUUUCGCUAGGGACGAAGCUUUUGUGACGGUACCUAGAUAAGCAGCACCGGCUAACUAC
rnacentral:rRNA from 1 species